UCCCUGGUGGUCCAGUGGCUAAGACUCCGCACUCUCAAUGAGGGGUCCCGGGUUCGAUCCCUGGUCAAGGAA
rnacentral:tRNA from 1 species